UGUUGCCUAGGGCAGUGUUUCCCAACCCAGUCCUCAAGGCACACCUACCAGUCCAGGAUUUAGGGAUUACCCAGUUGUGUCUAAGGUGUUUUUACAAAGAACUGGUAGGUGUGCCUUGAGGACUGGGUUGGGAAACACUGGCCUAGGGCAGCA